UUAACCUCAUUGAGAUCACACCAAGCUUAAUAUAUAGGAAAGUCUUCAACUGCUGCUAUAAAUUAAAUGUGUCACAAAAACUUACAUUGUGCAAUUACCUGGAUAUAGAAACCAGAAAUACCAUAAGAAAAAUAUAUAAAUAAAAUAAAAGCUCAAACUACAAAUAAGUGCAUGCCAAAUGUCCAAAACUAUGCAACAACAUUAGCUUUUUGUUAAACUAUAACAAUUAGAGAAAUUGAAAUCCAUAAUUAAAGUUAAGUUCCUCAACUUCACAUCUAUGAUCUAUGUAUGGCAAAGGCAUAUGAUUCUCCCAACCCUUCUCCAAAAUUUUCUUUUGAUAAUAAAUUUGAUGGCAACACUAUGUAAAAUCAAAUCUGACUUAUCUGUUGUCUUUUUUUAUGCUGUCUAUGUGUUACCUAUUAAAAUUAUAAUACAUAAUAGUUGUGUUAAUAUUUAAUGGUGAUAUUUAAUUUUAAAAAUUAUAAAAACGAUAUAAUUUUAAAGGAUAAUAUAAGAACAGCAUAGAAUCCUAAUCAACCAAAACUAUGUACUCAAAAGGACAAUUAAUAGAGCUCAAACUUAUUGAUCAUACCCUGUCAGUCUAUCCUCCUCGAUCUUACGGAUUCCUCUGAAAAACUAAGAACGAGGUGAUGGCGUCGAGCCCAGAUCUACAAUAAUCACACUUCAUAAUCCUCUAGCUAAAUAAUAUAAACUAUAUCAGAAGAGCUUACCACUAGCUGCAUAUUGUGAAUUCAAAUUUCAGAAAAUAAAAACUUAAACCAUAUACAGUUGAUACAUAUAUAGACUCUUAUUUCCUGUGGCCAAAAAGAAAUUUAACUGCACACAUAAAUCCAAUAAAUAUUGUAGGUAUAUAGACCUAUCCACCAGCCGAUACAGCUUCUCAUAUCAAUAUUGCAAAUUGCAAUUCACUUCCUUUAUUAGCAAUAAUAAUAAGAAUAAGAAUAAGAAUAAUGCAACCAUCAAUACCUAAUAAUAAAUUUUCUAAUUAAGACAAACAAUUAAAUACACAUAUUUUAUAUAUACCUAUAUCCACUCCAGUAUAAGUUGUAUCCGUUGUGCACCAUCUUUCUUUUCCUCAAAAUCUUCCUUCUGCUGAAAAAACUGCUAAAACUGCAAUCUAGUAACUUCGAAACUGUAUAAAGUGGCCAAAAAUUAGUACGGCAUUGACAAGUAAAGGGGAAAAGACAUAGGAGGGGGGUUUCUAUGCGCAGAAGAUAGGGUUACAGACACAAAGGGGCAAUUAGAGAGAUGCGAGUACGUGUCCGAUCGGAAGAAUUGGUAUAAUAUUAUUCAAUGUUAACUGUGUCUGUGAGAGUUACUGGUUAGCAUAAUAUGGUUAUUUAUAAGUUACAGUACAACUUGACAUGUUGGUUUGUUAUUUUCAAUGCUACUCAUAGCUGUUGUACGGAAAUUCAAGAAGAUCUCAAAUUCUCAAAUCUCUAUGAUGAAGUAAGAUCAACAUGGAAGUAAAGAAAAAGUUUAGAACAUAUUAAUAUUUCAUGAAUAAAUUACAAAAAUGUAACCAGUAAUAUUAGGGGAACCUAUAAUUGAAAAAACGAAUACAAUUAAUUAUAAAUUAAAAAUGAUUUUAAGUUUUUGGUUGAAAUGACGAGUAAAAGUGAAGAAGCCCCACAUUAUAUAUAUGAUGUGGUAGAAAAGAUUUACACACUUAGAGAAUGUUUGGAUACAUUAGAAUCACAUUGAAUGAAAAAAUCAUAUUUUCUAAAGAAAAAAUGUUAAAGUAAUUCUGUUAUAACUUUUAUUUAAAAAUUUGUUGGUGUUAGAUUCAACUAUUUCUUAAACAAACAUUUAAUGUAUGUCUAAAUUUUAAGUUAGAUGUAAGUAACAAAUUUGUUUGGAUUGUGAUCUCCACAAUAUUAUACUCUCGUAUUUCUCAAUAUCUUCAAGUAAAUUAAUUAAUUAAAUGUGAUUAGUUAUCAAAUCUUUUACGGCAACUUGUAUGAUAGUCAAUUUUGCGUGAGAUAUAUUCUCUCAAUAUUUCCUAUAUCGACCUCUCCAUCACUUAUUUAUUUUUUAUUUUUAAUAAUUAGUGAUACAAUAUUUUCCAAUUUUAUCCUUUAUAUUUCUGAAAAUGUUGUUAUACAUAAAUAAACUGAGGAAAAUCGUAUAAUACAACCGUAUGAAUACUUUAGGAUCUACAAUUUAAUUUGGUUUAAAUAAGUAAUUGUUAAUCCUUAAAAUAUGUCAUUUUUUUGUUUUAAUCUCUAUAAAAAGUUUAUUCAGUUUUAAAUUGAAAUUAAGAUUAAAUCAAAUCUAAUCAAAAUCAAGUAGUGGAUUCCUAUCCUGUUUUCUACUCGGAAGAAUUUGGGCUGUAUAGACGCGUCACGUACGUAUUCAACAUGUACAAUAGAUAUAUAGUACUAGUAGCAGAAAGGGUCAACGAGGUGGAAGGGAAUUUUAGGAAAACGUUAAAAUUAAUCAUGGGAGCUAAACAAUAAACCAAACAAUGCAAAACAAAAAUAGACAAGAUGAUGUGAGAAACUGAAACAACCAAGAAAAAAAAGCCAAAUAAAUUAAAUACUUACAUGCAUGUAUGCCCUGUUCUUAGUGAAGCCACUCCUGGUUUUAGAUACAGAGCAUGGUCAAUAUUCACUAACUAAGAAGGCAGAGAUGGUAGAGACUAGAGAGUUUGUAGCAUGAUCGAGGAUCUCUCAUAUACUUAAUUGGUGCGUCAAAGUGAAUUGAUUAAGGUAGCUAUAGCAGCCUUAAUUUUGUGAGUUAGCUAGAGACAGAACACUAUGGUACGUUUGUAUGAAUUUGAAAUUG
rnacentral:lncRNA from 1 species